rnacentral:rRNA from 1 species
UACGUAGGGUGCAAGCGUUGUCCGGAAUUAUUGGGCGUAAAGAGCUCGUAGGCGGUCUGUCGCGUCUGCUGUGAAAACCCGCAGCUCAACUGUGGGCUUGCAGCCGAUACGGGCGGGCUGGAGUUCGGUAGGGGAGACUGGAAUUCCUGGUGUAGCGGUGAAAUGCGCAGAUAUCAGGAGGAACACCGGUGGCGAAGGCGGGUCUCUGGGCCGAUACUGACGCUGAGGAGCGAAAGCGUGGGGGAGCGAACAGG